AUUUAUUAGUCUUCUUCCCUGUGUUCAUAAAUGCAGGGACCUGACAUCCGUUUUUGUGCGGUUGAAUGAAACGAAAAUAUCUGAGAAUGAAAAGUAAGAAUUUCAUCAUAUGGCGUAAACACUUUCUUCACGCUAAAACGAGGCAAUAAAACCUCCCUUAACACAAAGAUCCAGUAUCUUAGCUGCUGACACAAAGGGCUGGAAAGAAAAGAGGAUAAAAUCAAAGAGGAGAGUGAAAAGACGGUUGGCGAAGGAAGUCUACACAAAGGCUUCACACCGACUCCCCUUCAUUUGCCCUUUAUCACUGUCACUAGUUUGUUUAGAUUUCAUUUUCUCCCUCAUGUUUAGCCAGGCUUAAUUAUGAAAGAAGGUUGGAGCAAACAAGGCAACACGAGAUAGGAACAAAGAUGAAAUAACUAAGGAAGAGUGGAGAGACGGAAAAAAAAAAACACACACACACACACACACAUAUGCAGGUGUGCACUUUAUUGAUGUAGAACGAAUCGGCGUGCGGCAGCGAUCCAGCAGUUUCCUAUUCCCAAAUCAAACAAGCACUCAUUAAAACCUCACCUUCCCCAGUCUUUUCACAAAUCAUUUCCACAAAUUCAUUUCACGGAAACACAUUUCACCCCAAGACAGAAAUCAAACAUAAUCCUAUGGUUCAUUUCCAUUCACACAACACAAAUCUUAUGAGUGAUCACAAUAAAUCUAUUCCACAGAUUUGUCUGCCCAUCAGCACCUGUUAUCGUGAGUGAGGGUUCUUGAUAUGCUUCAGUAGAGAUCGGGACUCAAUUAUUUUAUUUAGCAGACGAUGCACGGCAGCAUGCAAAAAACCUAUACCAGCAGCCUCACGCAUACAGGUCUGCAGUCAAUAAGCCGUUUCCUGUUAGGAAGGAGAGUGUGUGCAUGUUUCUCUCUGAACAGUGCCUGUUUGUUUUCUUUGGCUGAAUUUGCGCCUUUCUUUCUCCUCAAGUCUUGUCAUCUUUUGAAUGUGGAGAACAUAAAUCCAUGUCAUUCAUUGUAGGUGUUGUGUGUGUGUCCUUUUGUGAUGGUCACUACAACUGUGCAUCUGUGGAG